GGCCGUGUGCCCGAGUGGUUCAGGGACUCGCCUGCAAAGCGAGUUACGCGGGCUCGAUUCCCGCCACGGCCUCCA
rnacentral:tRNA from 1 species